UACGAAGGACCCGAGCGUUAUCCGGAUUUAUUGGGUUUAAAGGGUGCGUAGGCGGAUUUACAAGUCAGUGGUGAAAUCUCCCAGCUUAACUGGGAAACUGCCAUUGAAACUGUUUAUCUUGAGUACAUUUGAGGCGGGCGGAAUGUGUCAUGUAGAGGUGAAAUUCUUAGAUAUGACACAGAACACCAAUUGCGAAGGCAGCUCGCUAAACUGUAACUGACGCUGAGGCACGAAAGCGUGGGGAGCGAACAGG
rnacentral:rRNA from 1 species